AGGACGAACGCUGGCGGCGUGCUUAACACAUGCAAGUCGAGCGAGGCCCUCCCUUCGGGGAGGUGUCCUAGCGGCGAACGGGUGAGUAACACGUGGGCAACCUGCCCUCAGCUCUGGGAUAACUCCGGGAAACCGGGGCUAAUACCGGAUAUGACCUCGAGCGUACAUCUCUCGAGGUGGAAAGAUUUUAUCGGCUGAGGAUGGGCCCGCGGCCUAUCAGCUUGGUUGGUGGGGUAAUCGGCCCACCAAGGCGACGACGGGUAGCCGGCUGGAGAGGGCGACCGGCCACGACGUGGGACUGGAGACACGGCCCAGACCUCCGACGGGAGCAGCAGGUGGGAAUAGUGG
rnacentral:rRNA from 1 species